GAUCCAAAUGUGACAGAUGACAAUCAACCAAUAUUUAACUUGGUGGCGAAACGUGAAAAAGCUCAUGAACAAGAUGUAAACAGUAUAUCAUGGCAUCCAACACAAAGCAUUCUUGCUUCUGCUUCAGACGAUGGCACUGUUAAACUAUGGAGGGUUAUGGAAGGGUAGGAGACAUGUAUGGAUAUAAUAGGGACUCAGGUGUUAUGUAAUAUGUACUUGUUACGUACAACGUAAAGUGCAUGGGCCUAGGAAACAAUGUCUGCCUUGCCCAAACUGGCCAUGUUUCCCGAAGGUUGGCAAGCCAGGAAGUGUUAUUUCCUAGCCAUAUUUCCCAAAAGUGAGCAAACCAGGGAACAUUGUUUCCUAUAACCAUGCUCUCCCCAAAGGUGGGCAGACCAGGAAUCAUUGAUUCCUAGCAAUGCUCCCAAAGGUGGACAAACCAGGGAACAUUGUUUCCUAUAUCCUUGUGGCUUUAAAGGCGGUCAUAUCAGAAAACAUUGAUUGUUUCCUAACCAUGUUUCCCGAAGGUGGAUAAACCAAGAAACAUUGUUUCCUGGCCAUGUUAAUUAAAUUAAGUAACUUGUACAACAUUGAGAAAUAACUUAAUUUUGUCUUUACAUCAAAGCAAGAAUACAAAUAAAUCACAACUUUAAAAUUGUCCACUAAAAUUAAUUGCCAAUAAUGUAUAUAAUUAUAUACAGCCUAUAAUUUCGCUGUGUAAGGUGUAAGCGGUGUUGGCAUAUUGUACUUCAGCUUUGCCG
rnacentral:lncRNA from 1 species